UUCUUUAACACCAAAGGCUUUUAACCCUUCUUCUUUAGCUAACAAGAACCUCAUUCUUUUCUUUAACAUUCCCAAAACCUUUACUAGAUUUUUUUUCCUAACUUCUUUAGCUUACUUCCCCUAGAAUUCUUUCCCUUUCCUCAUCAACAACGAAUUCCCUCUUUUCUUUUAAACACAUCCCAACCCCUGAUAUAAGCGCCCUCCUAGUCCUAUCCAGUCCGAAGAACGCGAACUAGAACUACAUGAGACACUAUCUCUGUCGUUACGAACCUAACACUUUCUACCAAGCUCAAUCGAAAUAAGACCUCACGAACACUCACAAGUGAUAUAGGGCUUGAAAGAAAGUUCAGGUUUGGGUAUGGGUUAACUGCUCUAAUAAGAAGAGUCAGCUACUUGGAUCAACAAGAGUGGUUAAAAUGAGU
rnacentral:sRNA from 1 species